GCUUAUGGCUAUACCACCCUGAGAACACCCGAUCUCAUCCAUUUCGGAAGCUAAGCAGGGUCAGGCCUGGUUAGUAUUUGAAUUGGAAGCUGCCUGGCAAUACCACGUACUGUGAGCU
rnacentral:rRNA from 1 species